CCAGUUUGUGAAGCGCUCGUUUCUUCUCCCUGGCAGGCUGGACAGGCGCCAUCGGAUAAAGCCACGUCGACGACGGCGAGUCGGCACUCGUACACGGUAAGACCGAUGGCAUCACCCGCGCCGGUCGCGUCGUUGGCCCCCGGUCGCGUCGCACCUCGCGGCCGAUCGCGCGUAUCCGGCCGCCCCGCGCGUCCGAUCUCCCGCGGCGUCCACCCGUGCCGCGCGGUGCCCGCGCCAGGUGUCGUCGACGCGGCGGUGGAUCUCGGCAUCUCCCUCGCCGGCGCCGACGCCAUCGACACGUUCGCGGCGUCGUCGAUGGCGGACGCGCUCUCCGACACCGGCAUUCCCGAGUGGCAGAUCUACUACGGCUUCAUCGCGGGGCUCUCGCCGUUCGUCAUCGCGGCGUACGAGUUCGGCAAGCGGAUCAUCAUUCAGCGACAGUGCGAGCUCUGCCGCGGCAGCGGCCUCAUCCAGAAGGGCCGGUACAGCCGCAAGUGCACCAGCUGCGGCGGAUUUUUGCCGUGGCAAUCCUGGGAGCUGUUCUUCACGUCCGAAGCGGGCAACGGCAGCAGGGUCAGGGCGCCCAAGGGACAGACCAGCGUCUUCUACGACGUCGAGGCUGCGAGGAGGGACGGCGCGGAGCAAGCCGCGAGGGCGCGCGAGAGGGAAGCAGCCGCCGGCGCGGCGAAGGCCAGGGUCAAGCCCUCCUCGCUCGCGUCGAUAGACUUCGACGACGACAUGUUUGUCGGCGCGGGCGCCGGUGUCCCGGAGCCCGUGAUGCAAACGUGCGACGAGGACGAUCAGGCGGCGAUGGAGUCCGUCCUGUCAACCUUCGGAGCGCCUGGAAAAACCGCAACCGCGCCGGGGGAGGACGACGAGGUCGAGGAGGGAGAGGCCGCCGCGGUCGAUCCUCCCCGCCCGUCGACGCUCGCGUCCAUGGACCUGUAUGAUGACGAGUGGAUGAACGCCGACCUCUCCGCGAAAGCUGCCCCGGAGCCCGUGAUGCAGACCUGCGACGAGGACGACCAGGCGGCGAUGGAAUCUGUCCUAUCGGCAAUCGCCGGCGCCGAGAAGGACGAUCGGGAGGAAGAGGUUCGCCGGCCGGCCACGCUCGCGUCGAUGGAUUUCGUCGACGACAUGCUGACGGGUAGCGCCGGCGAGGGAGGCUUCGAGCCCGUGAUGCAGACCUGCGACGAGGACGACCAGGCGGCGAUGGAAUCUGUGCUGUUUCGCUUCAACGCGCGAAACGAGAUUGAAUCCGUCGAGGAGAAGCGAAAACCGUCCACGCUCGCGUCGAUAGACUUUGACGACGACAUGUUCGUCGGCUCUGGCGACGGUGCCCCGGAGCCCGUGAUGCAGACGUGCGAUGAAGACGAUCAGGCGGCGAUGGAGAACGUCCUGUCAACCUUCGGAGCGAAGAAGCAAGACGCCGCCGACGACGGCGACGACGACGAGGGCAAAGGCGGCAGACGCGACGUCCUCGCCGGGUGCGUCGCCCUCCUCUCCGCGCUCGCGCUCGCGCCCACCGCGACCGCCGCGGACAUCGUGGACACCGGCGGGUACAUGUCCUUCGAGGAGCUCGAGGCCAGGGCCAGGGCGGCGUAUCGGGCCAAGCGGCUCGACGAGGCUCGCGAUUUGUUGACCAGGAUCAUCGGGAUGGAGCCCGAGGACGGGACGUGGCGCGAGCGAAGGGCGCAGGUGCUCGUGGACCUGAAGCAGUUCCAGGCGGCGAUCGAGGACUUCGACGCGGCGGAAGGCCUGUACGACAAGGAUUACAAGUCGCUGGGUUUGUUGAGCAAUCGCGCUCUGGCGCGGGAGGGUCUGUCGGACUGGAGCGGAGCCGUUCGUGACUACACCGAGUGCAUCAACCUCUCGCGGGAGAUUGGCGGCGUGCCCCCGUACGUCCUUAACUCGCGCGGAAACGCGUUGUCAAGCCUUGGGCGAUACGACGAGGCCCUCGGCGACUACGAGGAAGCCGCCAAGACGUUCCAGGUGAUGCACAAUUUAUCCGGCGCAAUUUACGCGAGGAGUAACGCCGCUCUCACGCUCGCCGAGCUCGGUCGCGACGAGGAGGCGAUCCACGAGAUGGAGGCGGUGGCGCGGCGCGCGGCCGGGAGCAUCGACAUGCGCGCGGCGCUCGCGGCGAUGCACUGGAGCAGGGGCGAGGAGGACGAGGCAGAGCGGGACUGGAACUGGGCUUGCGAGAAGAUCAACUCGGGGGUUCUCACGGAGGGCGGUCCCGCGCUGGACGGUUGCGCCCUGUAUCGCGACAGCGAUUGGCUCGGGAGGAUCCGGCGGUGGCCGCCGUCGAUGGUGAGCAAGAUGGACGACUUUAUCCGGCUCAGGAAACCGAGCAACGCGUGAGCGAGCGGCGCGU
rnacentral:lncRNA from 1 species